rnacentral:lncRNA from 1 species
UGAGACUGCAAACCAAGUCUACUGAGACCCACAUUACAUCAUUACCAUUAUGUGGUGUGCUACACACUAAUCAUAACCAUUACCUCUUACAAAUCUACAGGUUCAUGCAAUUAGUUGCCUGACAUGGAUUUUAUAGUUAAUUCAUGGUGAAGGUCGGCGGUCGGCAGAGUGGCAGUUUUCUGCAAGACUUAGUACCCACGAGUCUAAAUCUGGGCUUCACGAGAUACAUUCCUGACUACCUUGCUGCGAGGGGCACUCCGCCUGCAAUAGCGCUGCUUCACAUAGAGCUCCGGAACGCAUAAGGACUGAAGAUACUCACUUCUGAAUGUCCCGGAUGCCAAUCUCUACCUUUUCCAGCUGUGCUUCUGAGCUGAUCUUCUCCUUGGGCACACACUGGGAUGCCGAGC